rnacentral:rRNA from 1 species
AUUGAACGCUGGCGGCAGGCUUAACACAUGCAAGUCGAGCGGAGCGAGGGUGCUUGCACCUUAGCUUAGCGGCGGACGGGUGAGUAAUGCUUAGGAAUCUGCCUAUUAGUGGGGGACAACAUUCCGAAAGGAAUGCUAAUACCGCAUACGCCCUACGGGCGCAAGCAGGGGAUCUUCGGACCUUGCGCUCAUAGAUGAGCCUAAGUCGGAUUAGCUAGUUGGUGGGGUAAAGGCCUACCAAGGCGACGAUCUGUGGCGGGGCUGAGAGGAUGAUCCGCCACACUGGGACUGAGACACGGCCCAGACUCCUACGGGAGGCAGCAGUGGGGAAUAUUGGACAAUGGGCGGAAGCCUGAUCCGGCCAUGCCGCGUGUGUGAAGAAGGCCUUUUGGUUGUAAAGCACUUUAAGCGAGGAGGAGGCUACUUAGAUUAAUACUCUGGGAUAGUGGACGUUACUCGCAGAAUAAGCACCGGCUAACUCUGUGCCAGCCGCCGCAGUAACAC